UUUUGCUUCUCUGGCGUCGAGUACGAGCUUUAUCAAAUAUAGAUUGUCCAAAUCGAGUUUAUGAAUACUUUUACUGAGACGCCUCCGCGGUAAAACUCUGGUUUCAUCUCACCAAAUGGCCCAACAAAGAUUCACAGACGCGGGGAGAAACAUUCUAGACGUUGAGAAAUCCUUUAUGAGGCAUGAAGACUAUUUCAACUCUGGCUCCGGAAAUACUGUAUGGCUCGGGUUCUUCCUUCAGUGUGCGUCUGUCCACCAGGUGAAAAUCGUGGAAUAAAAAAGGAAUAAAAUAAUUAAGGGUUUAACGAGGACCAGCGCAGAGCCAAACUGCGGCUUUCAGAAGGAAAUUACCACGGCAGAGGUCAUCUUUAAAUGACGGUAAUCUCGCAGGGGGCUCCAGCGCUCUUUUGAACUCAGAAUGGGUCCGUCCUGCCUUAUCUGUGUCACACAGCGGUGGGCCGCAAUCAGCCGCGGACCCCCUCGGACCGCUUUCAAAGGGCCCGAGGAG